rnacentral:rRNA from 1 species
UCUGGGGGAUUAGUGGCGAACGGGUCGAGUGCACGUGAGUAACCUGCCCUGGACUCUGGGAUAACUUCGAGAGGUGGGAGCUAAUAGGGGAUAGGACCUUGCACCGCAUGGUGUGGGGUGGAAAGUUUUUCGGUUUGGGAUGGACUCCCGGCCUAUCAGCUUGUUGGUGAGGUAAUGGCUCACCAAGGCGUCGACGGGUAGCCGGCCUGAGAGGGUGACCGGCCACACUGGGACUGAGACACGGCCCACACUCCUACGGGAGGCAGCAGUGGGGAAUAUUGCACAAUGGGCGCAAGCCUGAUGCACCAACGCCGCGUGCGGAAUGACGGCCUUCGGGUUGUAAACCGCUUUUAGUAGGGAAGAAGCCUUCGGGUGACGGUACCUGCAGAAAAAGGACCGGCUAACUACGUGCCAGCAGCCGCGGUAAUACGUAGGGUCCGAGCGUUGUCCGGAAUUAUUGGGCGUAAAGAGCUCGUACGCGGUUUGUCGCGUCUGCUGUGAAAACUAUAGGCUCAACCUCUAGCCUGCACUGGGUACGGGCAGACUUGAGUGGUGUAAGGGAGACUGGAAUUCCUGGUGUAGCGGUGGAAUGCUCAGAUAUCACGACGAACACCGAUGGCGAACGCAGGUCUCUGGGCACUUACUGAC